UGUGGUAAAAGGAGACUUCUCUGUCAUAACUGCGGCUAGUGUUGCCUAUCCAUAAAUAAGCAAACAAUUUGUCACUAAAGAGGUUAUCCGAUAAACCAUCAUGAAAGAGGUUAUUUUUUGAACUUGGGCACAAUUCUGAAAGAAAUGAAGAACAAAAUUCACUUGCACCUCCCCCUAGGAUUACCAUAAUAUGAAGACAUAAUUCCUCCAAAGG